UGGGGAAUCUUGGACAAUGGGCGAAAGCCCGAUCCAGCAAUAUCGCGUGAGUGAAGAAGGUCUUCGGAUCGUAAAGCACUUUAAGUUGGGAGGAAGGGCAGUAAGCUAAUACCUUGCUGUUUUGACGUUACCGACAGAAUAAGCACCGGCUAACUCUGUGCCA
rnacentral:rRNA from 1 species